rnacentral:rRNA from 1 species
UGGGGAAUAUUGCACAAUGGGGGAAACCCUGAUGCAGCGACGCCGCAUGGAGGAUGACGGCCUUCGGGUUGUAAACUCCUUUUGUCAGGGACAAUGGUGAUGGUACCUGACGAAUAAGCCACGGCUAACUCUGUGCCAGCAGCCGCGGUAAGACAGAGGUGGCGAGCGUUGUUCGGAAUUACUGGGCUUAAAGGGCGCGUAGGCGGUGGUGUAAGUCUGGGGUGGAAUGCUACAGCUCAACUGUAGAGCUGCCUUGGAAACUGCAUUACUUGAGUCGGUGAGGGGAAGGCGGAAUUCCUGGUGUAGCGGUGAAAUGCGUAGAUAUCAGGAGGAAGGUCUGUGGCGAAGGCGGCCUUCUGGCACUUGACUGACGCUGAGGCGCGAAAGCGUGGGGAGCAAACA